rnacentral:rRNA from 1 species
GCAGUCGACGGUAGGCCCUUUCGGGGGUACACGAGUGGCGCACGGGUGAGUAACACGUGGGUAAUCUGCCCUGCACUUCGGGAUAAGCCUGGGAAACCGGGUCUAAUACCGGAUAUGAGCUCCUGCCGCAUGGUGGGGGUUGGAAAGUUUUUCGGUGCACGAUGAAUCCGCGGCCUAUCAGCUUGUUGGUGGGGUAAUGGCCUAGCAAGGCGACGACGGGUAGCCGGCCUGAGAGGGUGAUCGGCCACACUGGGACUGAGACACGGCCCAGACUCCUACGGGGAGGCAGCAGUGGGGAAUAUUGCACAAUGGGCGAAAGCCUGAUGCAGCGACGCCGCGUGGGGGAUGACGGUCUUCGGAUUGUAAACUCCUUUCAGUAGGGACGAAGCGAAAGUGACGGUACCUGCAAAAGAAGCACCGGCCAACUACGUGCCAUGAGCCGCGGUAAUACNUAGGGUGCAAGGGUUGCCCGGNAUUNCUGGGCGUAAGGAGCUGGUAAGCGGUUGGUCNGGUCUUCGG